rnacentral:hammerhead_ribozyme from 1 species
AUCCAGUUGAUAGGUCCAAAAUAGAAUGAAAGGCGCGUCCUGGAU